rnacentral:rRNA from 1 species
UACGUAGGGUGCGAGCGUUAAUCGGAAUUACUGGGCGUAAAGCGUGCGCAGGCGGUUUUGUAAGCCAGGUGUGAAAUCCCCGGGCUCAACCUGGGAAUGGCAUUUGGGACUGCAAGGCUGGAGUGCGGCAGAGGAGACUGGAAUUCCUGGUGUAGCAGUGAAAUGCGUAGAUAUCAGGAGGAAUACCGAUGGCGAAGGCGGCUCUCUGGAACGGUACUGACGCUGAGACGCGAAAGCGUGGGGAGCGAACAGG